GGAUCAAUAUGUUGGUCGUGCCAUUGGUACGUACUGGCAUUAUUGACUCUUACCUUCUGAAGAACCUUGAUGUCAUUAAUUUGGUGUCUUGGGGAAUCAGGACUGUUACUUUGAAAAAAUUAGAGUGUUUAAAGCAGGCUCGCGCUUGAAUACAUUAGCAUGGAAUAAUGAAAUAGGAUGUUUGAUUCUAUUUUGUUGGUUUCUAGGAUCGACGUAAUGAUU
rnacentral:rRNA from 1 species